rnacentral:lncRNA from 1 species
CAUCGGGAAAGCAUUGAGUAAUCUGGCCUCGCAUGUGCAUUCGGUUCCACUCGGGAGCUGACGUCGCAGGGGGAGAAGAGGUCACCCCUUCAGCCCAGCGGUAGGGGGGCUCCAAGGGAGUGGGGACCUAAUAACCCUAUAAUGCCAGGAAAACGAGUUUGUUUUCCUGGCACUAUAAUGUUCCUUUAAGUAAAUAUCUAACAGAGAAAGCUGAAGCAUCAUAAUUAAAGUCAGUGAGAAAUGAAAUGCAGAGAUCAAGAGCACGUUCUGUUCUGUUAGCUAUCCCAUCAACCAAUUCAGUCUGCACCUUCCCACAAACUAUCCCAUUAGCAUCUUCAUAGUCUUCACCUUACCACAUACUAUCCCAUCAACCAAUUCAGUCUGCACCUUCCCACGUACUAUGCCAGAACUCAAUUCACGGUCUGCACCUACCUACAUACUAUCCCAUCAACCAAUUCACGGUCUGCACCUUCCUACAUACUAUCCCAUUAACCAAUUCAGUUUGCACGUUCCCACAUACUAUCCCAUCAAUCAAUUCAGUCUGCACCUUCCUACAUACUAUCCCAUCAGCCAAUUCAGUCUGCACCUUACCAUACUAUCCCAUUAACCAAUUCCCAGUCUGCUUCUUCCCAUAUACUAUCCCAUCAACCAAUUCAGUCUGCACGUUCCCACAUACUAUCCCAUCAACCAAUUCAGUCUGCACUUUCCCACAUAUUAUCCUAUCAACCAAUUCAGUCUGCACGUUCCCACAUACUAUCCCAUCAAUCAAUUCAUGGUCUGCACCCCCCUACAUACUAUCCCAUCAACCAAUUCAGUCUGCACGUUCCCACAUACUAUCCCAUCAACCAAUUCAUGGUCUGCACCUUCAUACAUACUAUCCCAUCAGCCAAUUCAGUCUGCACCUUACCAUACUAUCCCAUUAACCAAUUCCCAGUAUGCUUCUUCCCACAUACUAUCCCAAUCAAUUAAUUCAGUGUCUGCACCUUCCCACAUACUAUCACAUGAAUAAAUUCAGAGUCUGCACCUUCCCACAUACUAUCCCAUCAGCCAAUUCAGUCUGCACCUUCCCACAUACUAUCCUAUUAACCAAUUCACAGUCUGCUCCUUCCAACGUCCUAUCCCAGAACUCAAUUCAGAGUCUGCACCUUCCCACAUACUAUCCCAUCAACCAAUUCACAGUCUGCCCCUUCAUACAUACUAUCCCAUUAACCAAUUCACAGUCUGCUCCUUUAUACAUACUAUCCCAUUAACCAAUUCACAAUCUGCACCUUCCCACAUACUGUCCCAUUAACCAAUUCAUAGUCUGCUCCUUCCCACGUACUAUCCUAGAACUUAAAUCACAGUCUGCCCCUUCAUACAUACUAUCCCAUUAACCAAUUCACAGUCUGCACCUUUCCACAUACUAUCCCAUCAAGCAAUUCACAGUCUGCUUCUUCUCAUGUACUAUCACAGAACUCAAUUCAGAGUCUGCACCUUCCUAAAUGCUAUCCUAUGAGCCAAUUCACAGUCUGCGCCUUCCUACAUACUGUCCCAUCAACCAAUUCACAGUCUGCGCCUUCCUACAUACUGUCCCAUCAACCAAUUCACAGUCUGUUUCUUCUCACGUACUAUCUGUCAUGGAGUAAGACUUCCGAGUUCGGCACUCAGCUGUGAGGAGCCGGACCCCGCCCCCCUCUAACACAGCUCUGACUGUAUUUAGGGAGACUGGGCCAAAGAGAGGGUGCUUGGUGAUUGUGUGUGAG